ensembl:snRNA U6 U6 spliceosomal RNA
ACUUGCUUCGGCAGAGCACAUACUAAAAUUGGAACGAUACAGAGAUUAGCAUGGCCCCUCCGCAAGGAUGACAUGCAAAUUUGUGAUGUGUUCCAUAUUUAA